UGUGAACGUUACCAAACUGUUGCCUCGGCGGGAUCUCUGCCCCGGGUGCGUCGCAGCCCCGGACCAAGGCGCCCGCCGGAGGACCAACCAAAACUCUUAUUGUAUACCCCCUCGCGGGUUUUUUUAUAAUCUGAGCCUUCUCGGCGCCUCUCGUAGGCGUUUCGAAAAUGAAUCAAAACUUUCAACAACGGAUCUCUUGGUUCUGGCAUCGAUGAAGAACGCAGCGAAAUGCGAUAAGUAAUGUGAAUUGCAGAAUUCAGUGAAUCAUCGAAUCUUUGAACGCACAUUGCGCCCGCCAGUAUUCUGGCGGGCAUGCCUGUCCGAGCGUCAUUUCAACCCUCGAACCCCUCCGGGGGGUCGGCGUUGGGGAUCGGCCCUGCCUUGGCGGUGGCCGUCUCCGAAAUACAGUGGCGGUCUCGCCGCAGCCUCUCCUGCGCAGUAGUUUGCACACUCGCAUCGGGAGCGCGGCGCGUCCACAGCCGUUAAACACCCAACUUCUGAAAUGUUGACCUCGGAUCAGGUAGGAAUACCCGCUGAACUUAAGCAUAUCAU
rnacentral:rRNA from 1 species